rnacentral:rRNA from 1 species
AUACAACUUUCAGCAACGGAUCUCUUGGCUCUCGCAUCGAUGAAGAACGCAGCGAAAUGCGAUAAGUAAUGUGAAUUGCAGAAUUCAGUGAAUCAUCGAAUCUUUGAACGCACCUGGCGCUCCCUGGUAUUCCGGGGAGCAUGUCUGUUUGAGUGUCAUUAAAUUCUCAACCU